rnacentral:misc_RNA from 1 species
GUAGGUGAACCUGCGGAAGGAUCAUUAUCGUGGGGCUCCGGCCCUAUCGAGAUAGAACCCUUGCCUUUAUAGUACCUUCUGUUGCCUCGGCGCCCGCCUCACGGCGGCGCCAAUGGGGCCAACCAAAAAAACCUUUUUAUUAAUGAGAAUCAGUCUGAAAAAACAAACAAAAAAUUAAAACUUUCAACAACGGAUCUCUUGGUUCUG